rnacentral:rRNA from 1 species
GAUGAACGCUGGCGGCGUGCCUAAUACAUGCAAGUCGAGCGAAUGGAUUAAGAGCUUGCUCUUAUGAAGUUAGCGGCGGACGGGUGAGUAACACGUGGGUAACCUGCCCAUAAGACUGGGAUAACUCCGGGAAACCGGGGCUAAUACCGGAUAACAUUUUGAACCGCAUGGUUCGAAAUUGAAAGGCGGCUUCGGCUGUCACUUAUGGAUGGACCCGGGUCGCAUUAGCUAGUUGGUGAGGUAACGGCUCACCAAGGCAACGAUGUGUAGCCGACCUGAGAGGGUGAUCGGCCACACUGGGACCGAGACACGGCCCAGACUCCUACGGGAGGCAGCAGUAGGGAAUCUUCCGCAAUGGACGAAAGUCUGACGGAGCAACGCCGCGUGAGUGAUGAAGGCUUUCGGGUCGUAAAACUCUGUUGUUAGGGAAGAACAAGUGCUAGUUGAAUAAGCUGGCACCUUGACGGUACCUAACCAGAAAGCCACGGCUAACUACGUGCCAGCAGCCGCAGUAA